AAAAAAAAAAAAAAAAAAAAAAAAAAAAAAAAAAAAAACCGGGAAAAGGAAAAGACAAAGAGAAGAUUUUUAGUUUGAAGUACACAAAGUUUAGUCAAGGGAAGAAGCUAAGCAAGGUACCCUCUGGUCCAGCCGCAUCGCCACGUGUCACUCAUACAAUGAGUUUCUUUUGCCUCCAAUACUUCUCGCCAAAAAGAAACUAGGGGGAUGUUGUUUGAGGGAAAAAUAGGAAAGGUAAUAGAGCGCCACGUGUCAGCCAAUGGAAUGAUAUCAGCACAAUCGGAGGUACCCUGCAUAAUUAGAGGUAUCCCACACAAAUAGAGGUACCCCAUAUAAUAUGAGGUACCCCAUACAAAUAGAGGUACCCCAUACAGAUAGGGGUACCCCGCGUAAUAGGGGGUACCCCAUGUAAUUCGAGGUAUCCGGAAAAGCGAAUGCAAGAGAAUCCACCGAAAAUACCCGCCAUGAGAAACGUCUCCGCCUCCUAAAAGAUAUCAUUUGAUUUUGUCAGAAUUAGGAAUCAAAAGCGACGUGCUAAAAGGAGGGACAGCCGCCU
rnacentral:lncRNA from 1 species